rnacentral:rRNA from 1 species
AACGCGAAGAACCUUACCUGGGUUUGACAUGCACAGGACGCUGGUAGAGAUAUCAGUUCCCUUGUGGUCUGUGUGCAGGUGGUGCAUGGCUGUCGUCAGCUCGUGUCGUGAGAUGUUGGGUUAAGUCCCGCAACGAGCGCAACCCUUGUCUCAUGUUGCCAGCGGGUAAUGCCGGGGACUCGUGAGAGACUGCCGGGGUCAACUCGGAGGAAGGUGGGGAUGACGUCAAGUCAUCAUGCCCCUUAUGUCCAGGGCUUCACACAUGCUACAAUGGCCGGUACAAAGGGCUGCGAUGCCGUGAGGUUAAGCGAAUCCUUUAAAGCCGGUCUCAGUUCGGAUCGGGGUCUGCAACUCGACCCCGUGAAGUCGGAGUCGCUAGUAAUCGCAGAUCAGCAACGCUGCGGUGAAUACGUUCCCGGGCCUUGUA